AUCACUUAUAAAAAUGCAGAAGCUGCAGCAGCGGUCAAGCUGCGCCGCGCACUCUAGAAAUUCACAACACAUUGUUAGGGUUUGACUUCAAUAGUUUCUCUCUCCUCUCUGCCACUCUCACUCAUCAAUUCAUGGCAACACAACAACCCAUCCUCGCCGUUGAUCAAAAAGAAGAAGAAACCAUCGAAUUCAAAUGGUUAAAAAUGCGUGGAAAAGGCGGCAAAAGGAGAGACACACAGUUCUACGAAUCGUUCACUUUCGACGGCACCAAUUACGAGCUAUUCGAUGUCGUUUAUCUUCAAAAUGGAUCUGCUCCUCACUCCGAACCUCAUAUUGGAAAAAUCAUCAAGAUAUGGGAGACUCCUACUCGUGAAAAGACUAAGAAAAUUAAGAUUCAAUGGUUCUUUCGUCCUCGUGAGAUUUCCAAGUUUUUGAGUGGGAUUGAGAUUUAUUAUAAUGAAUUGUUUUUUGCUGUUGGUGAAGGCACUGGACUUACCAAUAUCAAUCCUUUGGAAUCUAUUAUUGGGAAAUGCAACAUUGUUUGCAUUUCUAAGGACGCUAGAAAUCCACAACCAUCAGAUGAAGCAAUUCGGAGUGCUGACUUUGUGUUCCGUCGUUACUUUGAUGUGGGGCAGCGUAAAGUGUUGGAUGAGAUAGAUGACAAGAUGGCUGGAAUGGAAGUUAAAAACAUAUUUAACAAAAAGGGAUAGUCAAAAGCUUGCUGCUGCUGUAAAACUUUAUUUAUACAAGAAAGGAGUCAGUGAGGAAUGCCAUGAAAAACAAGGAAGUCACUUUUUUUGAGUAAUAAAAAAUAGUCAGCCUGUAACUAAAAGGUAGCUGGCUAAUAUGUUGAUACAUUAGUUACAAAAAGGGGAUGUUAAAUUUAUUUGGAAUAUAAAUAAGUGUGGAGGAAAAACCUCCGUUGAAGAAUAAAUAUCGGAGAUUCAAUUAUUUUUGUGGCGCAGAGGAAGUUUCUUAGACGGGUUGAUUGUAUACACAGAGCUUCAAAUGCUGUUUAGAAGGGGAUUCAAGCUUAUUUUUAUCAACUUGGUAGAAGGAGAUUCAACAAAUGAAGAGAUUAUCACACCAAAAGAAAAAAAAAAUAUAUUAAGAAAAAAACAAAUGAAGAAUGUUUAUUCAUCAAAGUAUUUUAGGUGAAGUGGCAUAUUUCCAUGGGAAUUUACACAAUUCUUCCAAUUAUGACUUGUUCUCAAGCUGGUGAUGACCAGGAGAAGCUCCUGCCUCUUGGCUACUAGAAUUGUGAUGAUUUGCUUCAGCUGAGGAUGAUUUGGCAUGUAAACCACUACCAAGUUUAUCAGUUUUCUUUGUUUCAUCUACAUGCACAUCAUCUUCAACUGUUAUAACUACUGCCUGUUGUCCAAAAGGACCAGGCACAAUGGUUUCCUUGCCCUUUUUAUGCUCAUCGAUAUGGAUGAUAUCGGUUUCUUGUGUCUUCUUCUCCUUCCUCUUCUGAAAGAAGCAGAAUAGAACAAAAGUCAGCAAAGAAAGCAAGACAAGUCCCCCGGAGAAGAUGAAUAAAACUACUAUGACUAUGGGGGGGUUGUUUGGAGAGGGAGAGUUGCUGGAUUGAGUUGAGGCCAUUUUUGUUUUUCAGUUGUAUCAAUCAAUUGAUGAUGUUCUCAAAAUGUUGAUUGUGUGGAAUAUGUUGUGUGGCUUUGGUGCCCUUUUGAAAUGUUGAUUUAUAGGAAAUACGUUGGUAUGGAGUUAUGCAAUUGUUUAAGUAACUUGACUCUCA